GCUUUGUGGUUCAACUGAUUUGAAGAGCUUGCUCAGAUAUGACGAUGGACAUUGCAAAGAGUGGCGAACGGGUGAGUAACACGUGGGAAACCUACCUCUUAGCAGGGGAUAACAUUUGGAAACAGAUGCUAAUACCGUAUAACAAUGACAACCGCAUGGUUGUUAUUUGAAAGAUGGUUCUGCUAUCACUAAGAGAUGGUCCCGCGGUGCAUUAGCUAGUUGGUAAGGUAAUGGCUUACCAAGGCGAUGAUGCAUAGCCGAGUUGAGAGACUGAUCGGCCACAAUGGGACUGAGACACGGCCCAUACUCCUACGGGAGGCAGCAGUAGGGAAUCUUCCACAAUGGGCGAAAGCCUGAUGGAGCAACGCCGCGUGUGUGAUGAAGGGUUUCGGCUCGUAAAACACUGUUGUAAGAGAAGAAUGACAUUGAGAGUAACUGUUCAAUGUGUGACGGUAUCUUACCAGAAAGGAACGGCUAAAUACGUGCCAGCAGCCGCGGUAAUACGUAUGUUCCAAGCGUUAUCCGGAUUUAUUGGGCGUAAAGCGAGCGCAGACGGUUAUUUAAGUCUGAAGUGAAAGCCCUCAGCUCAACUGAGGAAUUGCUUUGGAAACUGGAUGACUUGAGUGCAGUAGAGGAAAGUGGAACUCCAUGUGUAGCGGUGAAAUGCGUAGAUAUAUG
rnacentral:rRNA from 1 species